GCGGGCGUAGCAUAUCGGUAAUGCUCCAGCUUCCCAAGCUGGCUAGGAGGGUUCGACUCCCUUCGCCCGCUCCA
rnacentral:tRNA from 1 species